GAGAGCACAAGCAGGUGGAGGGGGAGAGGGAGAAGCAGACUCCCUGCUGAGCAGGGAACCCGAUGCAGGACUCAAUCCUGGGACUCCAGGAUCAUGACCUGAGCCAAAGGCAGACAGACGCUUACUGACUGAGCCACCUAGGCACCCUGGGGGUUGGUUCCUUCUUAAUGUUCUGGGAGAUAAUCCAUUCCAUGCCUCUCUCUUACAUCCUGGUGGCAGUUGACAGCCCUUGGCAUUCCUUGGCUUAUAGACCUAUAACUCCAGUCUCUGCCUCCACCUUCUCAGUCUCUGUGUGUGUUAGCUUUAGGGCUCACCCUAAGUCCAAGAUGAUAUCAUCCCAAGAUCCUUAAUUAUGUCUGCAAAGAUUUCAUCUCCAAGUAAGUUUUCAUUCACAGGUACCAGGGUAAAGACUUGGAUAUAUAUUUUUAGGGAACACUAUCCAACCCAUCACACACACACCAAGAACUGUAAGAAAAAUUGUUUCUACCAAGUUGUACUUUUUUUCCCUGAGUUUUUAUUGGGGGAUACAGUAUUUCAUUCAUUAUUUUUCUAAUUUUCCAUUCUGAUUUAAUACUUUCCCUAAGACUUUUAAUUAUUCAUAAUCUCUCAUCUUGCAUAUGUCAUACCUCAAUUCCUGUGUGAAAUAUGGGCAAAUAAACAUAUGAACUGAAAAGCAUCUAUCAGACUUGGGGACAUGUGGCUCCUUGGAAUGCGCGGAAUGAGCAGCCAGGAAGAGGAGAGAAUGUAUGCCUCUUUUUAAAUCCUUGGCUAGGAAAGGUUAACAGGACAGAGGAUUCUGGCUGCAGUCAGGUUGCCAUUGACAUGAAGGUGCUGAAAGAGAAGGGGAUGUUGGAGAACUGAAGAAAGGAUCCAGAGGGCUGAGCAAAAGGAGCUGGAGCAGGUAUGCAGACAGGAACAAGGUGAGGAAAUGUUAUCCUCGUGUCUCCCUUUUGACAGAAUAAGGGACUAGAGGAGAAGGGAGUGGGGAGGUAUGAAAGUACCAGCAAAGGGAAGGGGAAAUGGGGAGGUCUCAGGGGAUCACUGCAAUGGUGCUGGGGACCCAGGGCGGGUCGGAGACCAGGAGUCUUGUAUUCACAUGAGAAAUGGUUCUCUCUAAAAAUGUCCUGUGGCUGCCCAAGUGAAGGGAGGAGGUGGGUACACACUCGAAGGAUUUCCUGUGGAAAAAUCAGACUGUCACUUCCUUCUUUCUGAGUUAUCUACUUCACUUUUAAUAUCAAAGAGUUCAGUCCUGUAUAUAUAGUAGUGAGUAGUCCUUUUACAUUUCCACAUAGGCCCCCUGCCCGUAUGGCUACCAAACAACUCAGCCUCUUAUCCAUGACAAACCAGUGUAAACACAUUGCUAGUCAGAUGCUAUCACAAGGAAAAUGUGAAAUUUUGACCUAUGAUAAGGUGUGACCUCUCUGGGCCUCAGUUUCCUCGUUACAGAAUUGGAAGCAAUGGGAUCAGCCUGGAUGAGUUCUCAGUACUCUCUGCUCUGGUAUUCUGUGGUCUGAUGGUCAUUAGUAGCCCUUGGCUUCACCAAAUCAGAAUCACUCUUGAUGACCAGUGUGCAGCACUGCCUCCCUAUGGACAUCCCUUGGUCUAAGAGCAACACAAGUCCCCAGCCUGCCCGGCCCUGCCCGCCAGGUUAGCAACUCAUGGCCCUUGCAGUAAGCAUCACCCUAACUGUCUUCCAUGACCUAGCCUCUAUGGACCUUCUUGCUCUGCACAUUCCCCUUCUCUGUCCAUCUUUCUAGCUGCUCUCCCAGGAAUCUUCUGAUUCCUCCUCACCCCACAAGCCACUCCCUCAUUCCUGCCUCACCCAGCAAUCCCUUAGGUGUGGCUGGUACAGAGCCUGGGGACUGUGCCGUGAUCAUUGCUGAAAUGUCACACUUGUGGUCAUUUUUAGGAAAAGUUUGUUAUCCUUAUCCCUUGAUAAGGAACAUAAUCCCUCCAGUAGAUACUGCUUCAAUGGGAAACCCAGUUUCAGCAUGAUUCAUACCCUUCACAGCACCUUUUUGAGCACAUAGCUGGCCUUAAGUGCUUAGAACUGGCUGUUCUGUAGCAGCUUCUGGAGGCAGUCCUCUGUUUUUAGCUUACCCACAACUAAUAGUUCAGUCCCUAAUGUCACAAGUAAGGACAAGACGUCAUGUAAGAAAACAGGAGCCACAGUUCCCACAGCAGAGGCAGAUAGGAACCCAUAAAGAGCCCAGAAUUUACACCCCAACCCAUGCCCUGGUCAGGUGUGGCCCACUGGACCUCCACUGAACUAGGACAACCCAACUCAGUAAACACUUCUUGAGCAUCUCACCUGAGCCAGGUCCUGUGCAGACAUCGAGGGCUCCCUCCCCUUGAGGAGCUCUCUCUCUAGUGGAUGAGACAGAUGCACACCCAACUCAGUUCUAUAAUGAAUAUUUAUAGGAUAGCUGUUAUGUGCCAGGCACUGCACUGAAGCCAAGAUACAGUGAUGGUCCAGACAGAUAUGAUGCAUGCCCUCGUGGGACUCAUAGCCCACAGAGAAAACGGACGCUGUGCAAGUGAUUGAGUGCUACCGAGAGCACGGUUCCUGGUGUGGAGGAGGGGCUCACAUUACCUGUUGAUAAAAUCAAGAGAUAAAGGCCAUCUCAUCUUGAUCUUUUCUCACAGGGUCCAGCAUGGAAACUGCUACAGUUAGACCUCAGUCAAUGAAUUUAAUUCACUAGUCCCCAACCCCAUUCUGUACAUGGUGUUACCAAAGCAGGGAUGACUAAAGCUUCAGUUCACUGGACUGGAAGGCUUCACUUCUAAACGGAAAGGUCCACGGCGGCUCUGUCAGGAAGAUGGCUUCAGGCUGGAGAGGAGCAAAACCAAGCUGAACGUCCUGGGGCAUAUUACACCAAACACCGAUGAAGGUGGAGAUGCAGACUUUGGCUUGGUACCAAGAAGCCGUUCCUGACUGAAGUUUCCAGUGGGACAGGCCACCUGGGAUGCAGCAGACUUGUGGUCCCUGGAGGACUCUGCCCUAAAAGGAACCAGAAAUGCCCUUAAAGAAUUAUCUGCUAAGAUGUCCGUAGAACAUUCUUUAUAACUGUGGAUAUUGCAGAUCAUCAACAGUGGAACCCUGGAGAAGUAAAUGAUAGCGAUCAAUUCAGCUAAGCAUGAAGAAGCCAUUAUGUUAUCAAGAUUUCUAAAGUUGCACAUUCAGCAUGACCUCACACCUAUGCAAAAAUGCACU